rnacentral:lncRNA from 1 species
GGAUUCUGGAGGAGGCCUCGGCGCGCAGCUGGGCGAGUACUAACUGUUUGCACUCUCAUCAGACCUGCCUCGGUCAUGGGAGAAGUUGAAGACUUUCUGCAAUGCAGCAUCUUCAAGCAAUACACACAUGGAUGAAAAUCCUAAAGUUUGCAUGAAGGACCAAUAACGUGCCUAGAAACAGGCAAAGUGAGGGAGCUCCUUUGCUAGAUGAUCUUCAGAGCCUCUCCCAGCUGUGACCAGAAAUGGAAAGCCAGAGAAGGUAAGUGACUUGCCAAACUUAUGGAAUCAGGGCACUCCAGUUGGUGGGCUGGGCUGAUAAACAGAAAUGUUACAUAAAAUACUUCUCUCCUGAUUUAACAACAAUUAACUUUAGGGAAUUAUAAAACAAGAUGGAGGCUGGGCGUGGUGGCUCAGGCCUGUAAUCCCAGAACUUUGGAAGGCCAAGGCAGGUGGAUUACCUGAGGUGAGGAGUUCGAGACCGACCUGACCAAUAUGGAGAAACCCUGUCUCUACUAAAAAUACAAAAAUUAGUCAGACAUGGUGGUGUGCGCCUGUAGUCCCAGCUACUUGGGAGGCUGAGACAGGAGAAUUGCUUGAACCCAGGAGGCAGAGGUUGCAGUAAGCCGAGAUCAUGCCACUGCACUCCAGCCUGGGCAACAGAGCAAGACUCAAAAAAAAAAAAAAAAGGUGGAAAUAAAAUAUUAGACAAAUAAAAAAUUUUAAGUUAUUAGGUAGAGGUAGCGACAUGGAGUGAACGGCCUUUCUCAAUUUCAUAAGUAAGAAAGAUAGAUAAUUGAUGGAACUUAGGCUUUGGUAAGUAUUUAUUUUAAAAAUUUAAGGGUAUCUCUUUGCUAGUAUAUAUAAUUCCCAAACUAGUAGACAGGGGGAAGGGAAUAAAGAAAACACAAUCAACUCAAUAGAAGGCAAGAAAAGAAGAGAAUAAAGAAGCAAAGAACAAGCAUGGAAAAUAAAACUCACAACGUAAAGUGCAAAAAUUAAAGGCACACGACUCAACAGCAAAAAAGCAAAAGAAGAAAUUUAUAAAUGGGCAAAGGACCUGAACAGAUACUUCUCAAAAGAAGACAUAAAAAUGACCAGCAAAAAUGCUCAGCAUCACAUAUCAUCAGGGAAAUACAAAUUAAAAGCAUAAUGAGAUGUCACCUUACACUGUUAGAAGGGCUAUAAUCAAAAAGACCAAAGACAAUGGGUGUGGGUGAAAAUGUGGAGGAAAGGGAACCCUUGUACACUGUUGAUGGGAAUGUAAAUUAGUGCAGCCUUUAUGGAAAAUAGAAUGGAAGUUUCCCAAAACUCUAAAAACAGAAUUACCAUAUGAUCCAGCAGUCCUACUUCUGAGUAUAUACUGUGAACCCUGAAUAUCUGAGACAGUUCUCAGUUAAUUUAGAAAGUUUAUUUUGCCAAGGUUGAAGACACACACUCAUGACACGGCCUCAGGAGGUCCUGAUGACAUGAGCCCAAGGUGGUCAGGGCACAGCUUGGUUUUAUACAUUUUAGGGAAACAUGAGACAUAAAUCAAUAUGUAAGUGUAAGGUAUACACUGGUUCUGUCCAGAAAGGCGGGAAAACUCAAAGCAGGGAGGGGGCUUCCAGGUCACUGGUAGGUGAAAGACAAAUAGUUACAUUAUUUUGAGUUUCUGAUUUGCCUUUCCAAAGGAGGCAAUCAGAUAUGCACCUAUCUCAGUGAGCAAAGGGAUCACUUUGAAUAGAAUGGGAGGCAGGUUGUCCCUGAGCAUUUUCCAGCAUGACUUUUCCCUUUAGCUUAGUGAUUUGGGGGCCCCAAAAUUUAUUUUCCUUUCACAAUACUCAAAGGAAUUGAAAUCACUAUGUCAAAGAGAUAUCUGUGUUUCCAGAAAGAGGUCCCAGUCCAGACCCCGAGAGAGUUCUUGGAUCUUGUGAAAGAAGGAAUUCAGGGUGAGUCCAUAUAGUAAAGUAAAAGCAAGUGUAUUAGUAAAAUAAAGGAAUAAAGAAUGGCUACUCCAUAGGCAGAGCGGCCCGAGGGCUACUGGUUACUUGCUGUUAUGGUUAUUUCUUGAUUGUAUGCUAAGCAAGUGGUGGCUUAUUUAUGCCUCCCCGUUUUAGACCAUUUAGGGUAACUUCCUAACAGGUCAUGGCAUUUGGAAACUGUCAGGGCAGUGGUGGGAGUAUAGCAGUGAGAACUCUCGUUGCCAUCUUGGUUUUGGUGGGGUUUAGCUGGCUUCUUUACAGCAAACUGUUUUAUCAGUGAGGUGUUUAUGACCUGUAUUUGGUGCCGACCUCCUAUCUCAUCUUGUGACUUAGAAUGCCUAACCAUCUGGGAAUGCAGCCCAGUAGGUUUGUUUCAGCCUUAUUUUACCCAGCUCCUAUUCAAGAUGGAGUUGCUCUGCUUCAAAUGCCUCUAACAUCUGUACCCCAUAAAAAUAGACAAUUAUUAUUUGUUAAUUAAAAAUAAAAUUAAAAAGUGUAUCAUGAACUGUGUUCCCUGUCAUUAAAUGUGUGCCUUCCCCACUAAAAACAUACGUUAGUGAACACAGUAAAUGUUAACAGAUUUAACAUUUAAUUAAUUUAAUUAAUUAAUUAAUUAUUUAAUUUAACAUUUAACUGUUAGUCUAUCCUAACAGUUAAAUGUUAACAGAUUUAACUGUUAGGGUAGACUCUCAGAUUAGAAUCCAAUUGGAAGUGUUUUGUUUUGUUGUUUUAAUCUAGCUAUGUUGCUUUUCAAAGGUACACCUAAAACAAACUUAUAGACAGGUUGAAAAUAAAGAGGGAGGAUAGAAUAAUAUAUGGCAGGCAACCAAAAGAAAGUUGUUAAUGCAUAUAAAAGUUAGUAAAGAAACAUUAAAAAGAUGCUUUUAAUGGUAAAGAGAAGACUCAUUAAAGAUAGAAUACUAUUCACCUAUAAGCAACUGACAACAUAGUCCCAUAUUAUCUAGCACAAAAAUUGACAAAAUAUGAGGAAAAAUUCAAAAUCCAUAAUUAUUACAGAGGAUUUGGAGUACCUCUAUCAGAAAACAAUAAAUCAAGUAGGCCAAAAAGCAUAUGAAGAAUAUGGAAGACUUAAGUAAUAUAUUAAGAAUUGUGAUCUCUGAAAAACAGUGACCCCUGAAGAAUAGAUUGUUUCCAAGCACAUUUCAAAUACUUACAAAAACUUGACCAUUCCCUAGACCACAAAGAAAGUUUCAGCAAACUCAGAUCCUAUCACAUAGACCAGAUUUUCUGACCUCGUAAUUCCAGUAGAAAUCUAUGAAUUUAUUCAUUUUCUACACAUACAUACACGUUCGAAAAUCAAAACACACUCUAAAUAAUUCAUGAGUUUACAUACAUCUGAGAAUGGGCAAGACCCAAUUAUGUCUGUUGUCUUCGUGUGAUUAUUAAUAGCACUCUUCCACUCACUGUCAAACAUGUCCCAGUUUGGUUGAUACGUUAUGUGGACAUCCUAUUUAAAAGGAAAAUUAUAAAACAUUUGGAAUUAAAUGACAAGAAUUCCCUGUCAAACUUCUGCUUUACUCCUGAGGUAAUAAUUUGAGGGAAAACAGCCUGGAAAAAAUAAACUGGAGUUUCAACUCAAAGAGUAGGAUAAAAAGAAUCAAAAGGGAAAUCACAGGCACCAAAAAAUACAUAAAAAGGGGUGACAAAAGUAAAGACAGACACUGAUGAAAAUGAGAACUAUUGCAUUAGUUUUCUGUCUAGCUGCAUUCGAAGCUGGAA